UAACUUUCAUUAAUAUGAGAUAUUCAUUUAUUAAUUCCGCACAAGUUGCCAACCAAAAUACUUCAGAAUUGUUUAUUGCAUACAACACAUUCCUGUUUUGCACCCUAUAACUCAAGGCAGUUGGUUCAAACCCAAAAGACUCCCGUUGGCAGUAGAUAGAAUUUGACAACCAAAAACACAAUAAACACUUGAAAACCUCUCUUGCUUGUGGCAGAUUAACUAGCUGCCCAAGGACCAUCUAAAAACCACCAGCGAUGAGCAGGAUAUGCAUUCUAUUGACAACGAGAGAGCAGAAAUGCUCACCAUCAAAACCAAAAAAUAAAAUAAAAUA
rnacentral:misc_RNA from 1 species